GAUGAACGCUGGCGGCGUGCCUAAUACAUGCAAGUCGAGCGAACAGACGAGUAGCUUGCUCCUCUGAUGUUAGCGGCGGACGGGAGAGUAACACGUGGAUCACCUACCUAUAAGACUGGGAUAACUUCGGGAAACCGGAGCUAAUACCGGCUAAUAUUUUGAACCGCAUGGUUCAAUAGUGAAAGACGGUUUUGCUGUCACUUAUAGAUGGAUCCGCGCCGCAUCAGCUAGUUGGUCAGGUAACGGCUUACCAAGGCAACGAUGCGUAGCCGACCUGAGAGGGUGAUCGGCCACACUGGAACUGAGACACGGUCCAGACUCCUACGGGAGGCAGCAGUAGGGAAUCUUCCGCAAUGGGCGAAAGCUUGACGGAGCAACGCCGCGUGAGUGAUGAAGGUCUUCGGAUCGUAAAACUCUGUUAUUAGGGAAGAACAAAUGUGUAAGUAACUAUGCACGUCUUGACGGUACCGAAUCAGAAAGCCACGGCUAACUACGUG
rnacentral:rRNA from 1 species